CGAUUAUAUAAAUGUCACUAGGUACAAAUAUUUCGUUGUUUAUCGGCAGUUUAUCGGUUUAAUAAAUAUAAGUGAUUCGAUAAUUAUAAUUUAUUGAAUUUAUUCAGUAUCCUUUAGCAAUAUACAUUGUAAUAAAUUUUCAACAACAAAUAUUUUUAAAUACACUGUACCAUGUGGCCCAUAAUUAUGCAGUUUCUGCGGUCAAAUGCACCAUACCUUACACUUCCAGUAGCUGCUGUAGUUGGUAUUAUAGGAUACAAUUUAGAAGGAUUAUUAUCAGAUAGAUACACACCUUAUAAUAAGGCAAUCCAAGACCAAAGAUUAGAAAGAUUAACAGAGGAAGACAUCUUAAAUGAUCCAACAAAUGUAGAAAAAUUGAAAUACAAAGAAAAUGUACUUGGAAGGAAUGUAUCGCCGUCAUUACAAAAAGAAUAAUUAUUAAGUUAUUAAAGUCUGAAUAAGUGAGAACAUCAAAAUUUGAGGUGUUUGAAGGAUUAGAUAACAAUACAGAAAUUCACUGCUUUAAUACCUAAUAGAAGAUAAACAAACAAAAUUAAGGCUGUAGUGUACCAUUCAAGCCUACAGUACUAAUAACAGCUCAAUCUAUGGUAGUCUCACCUACUCUGUUAAAUAUAUAAUCAUAGAUAAAAAAAUCAACAUUCACUUUUUAUAUAAGUGUUCCAUAUUAAAUGAAUAUUAUGAACACAUAGAUAUAAAAAAAAAACAAGAUUCACAUUCUUAUCUGUCUUAAUUCUAUUUUAGCGGCCUGUCCCGGCGUCGCACGGGUGGACAUUUUUACAUUUUAAAAAGUAGCCAUUAAGCUUAAAAAUGGAGUAACUUCUCCUGUUUUCCCAACAUUUCCCUUCACUACUCUGCUCCUAUUGAUCGUAGCGUGAUGAAAAGUAUACUAUAACCUGCCCAGGAGUAUGAACAAUAAUUGUACCAAAUUUCAUUAAAAUCUGUUGAGUAGUUUUUGUUUCUAUAAUGAACAUACAGACAGACAGACUAAAAUUUUACUGAUUGUAUUUUUGGCAUCAGUAUCGAUCACUAAUCACCCCCUGAUAGUUAUUUUGGAAAUAUAUUUCAUGUACAGAAUUGACCUCUCUACAGAUUUAUUAUAAGUAUAGAUGAAAAGUAGAUAGUUGUCCUAAGACCAAAUAUAAGUGGAGUUGAUUUUUUUAUAUGACACUCCAUGUUUUAAUAUCAUUUUCUAUAUGCGAAAUUGUAUUUUGGAUUAUUUUCUAUGUCAAUGUAUGAAUUACAAACACCACAAGUCCAAUGAAGUCAUUACUUAAUUAAUAAUGUAAAUAUAAUUGUUAUAGUUUUUAAUUGUUUUCAAUAAAUAUAAUGAAUAUGUUUAA